GGGCGCGGUGAUAUUCUGUUCAGUGUGCAAGAUGGACAGACAGACGAGGAAGAGGACAUCAAAUGAGGAGAUGCAAUGAUACUCGGAACACAGGACCAGGCACACAGGGAGUACUCAACUGAAAUGCUGAGUGAAUGAAGAAUAAAGCCUCUUGGCAAGGUACCAAGAGGAUCACCCGAGGUGAUUGGGUGAGUUACUCUAAAAGAGCAAGGAAUUUACUCAGGAAUCUGGAAGCUCAGGUGCAAAGUGAAGGCGAGUUAAAUGGUUCUCAUCUGCAAGAUCAGAGCUUCUGAGAAUGUGCUGUGCACAGGAACCAGCUGGGGUCCUGCUGAAUGCAGAGUAUGAUUCGGCAGGCCUGUGUGGGUCUGAGAUUCUGCAUUCCGACCAGCUCUCAGGUGCUGCAGCUGCUGGCCUGUGGCCACAGCUGGAAUAGCACGGCGCUAG
rnacentral:lncRNA from 1 species